GUGUAAGUUAUUAAGGGCACACGGUGGAUGCCUUGGCAUUAAGAGCCGAUGAAGGACGUGUGAAUCUGCGAUAAGCCUCGGGGAGCCGAUAACUGGGCGUUGAUCCGAGGAUUUCCGAAUGGGGAAACCUGGCUCAUCUUCAUGGUGAGUUACCGCCAGCUGAAUGUAUAGGCUGGUUGGGGGGAACGCGGGGAAGUGAAACAUCUCAGUACCCGCAGGAAGAGAAAAUAAAGUAAUGAUUCUGUGAGUAGUGGCGAGCGAAAGCGGAAGAGACUAAACCUGUGGUGUGUGAUAGCGGUUAGGCGUUGCAUCAUGGGGGUUGUGGGAGUCACAGUGGCAGUUCUAACUGGCUGCCGGCAUGAUGUUCAGGAUGGUAGGUGAACGACUUGGAAUGGUCGGCCGUAGAGGGUGAGAGUCCCGUAAUCGAAAUUGUUCUGUCCGUGGUGUGGCCACCCGAGUAGCACGGGGCUCGUGGAAUCUCGUGUGAAUCUGCCAGGACCACCUGGUAAGUCUAAAUACUACUUGGUGACCGAUAGUGCAUCAGUACCGUGAGGGAAUGGUGAAAAGUACCCCGGGAGGGGAGUGAAAUAGUACCUGAAACCGUGUGCUUACAAGCCGUUGGAGCCUUUUGGGGUGACAGCGUGCCUUUUGAAGAAUGAGCCUGCGAGUUAGUGUUAUGUCGCGAGGUUAACCCGUGUGGGGUAUCCGUAGCGAAAGCGAGUCUGAAAUAUGGCGUUUGUCGCGUGUUCUAGACCCGAAGCGGAGUGAUCUAUCCAUGGCCAGGUUGAAGCGACGGUAAGACGUCGUGGAGGACCGAACCCACCAGGGUUGAAAACCUGGGGGAUGAGCUGUGGAUAGGGGUGAAAGGCCAAUCAAACUCUGUGAUAGCUGGUUCUCCCCGAAAUGCAUUUAGGUGCAGCGUCGCGUGGUCCCUGGUGGAGGUAGAGCUACUGGAUGGCCGAUGGGCCCUGUGGGUUACUGACGUCAGCCAAACUCCGAAUGCCAUUAGGUGUAGCGUGGCAGUGAGACUGCGGGGGAUAAGCUUCGUAGUCGAGAGGGAAACAGCCCAGAUCAUCAGCUAAGGCCCCUAAGCGUGCGCUAAGUGGGAAAGGAUGUGGAGUCGCGGUGACAACCAGGAGGUUGGCUUAGAAGCAGCCAUCCUUUAAAGAAAGCGUAAUAGCUCACUGGUCUAGUGAUUCUGCGCCGACAAUGUAGCGGGGCUCAAGCGUACCGCCGAAGCUGUGGCAGCAACACGCGUGCUGGCGCCAGGAACUGGUUGUUGGUGUGUGGUUGGGUAGGGGAGCGUCCUGCAUGAGGUGAAGCCUGGAGGUAACUUCUGGUGGAUUGUGUGGGAGUGAGAAUGCAGGCAUGAGUAACGAAUCUGCGGUGAGAAUCCGCAGCGCCGAUUGACUAAGGGUUCCAGGGCUAGGUUUAUCCGCCCUGGGUUAGUCGGGUCCUAAGGCGAGGCCGACAGGCGUAGUCGAUGGACAACCAGUUGAUAUUCUGGUACCGCGUUAUGACCGCCCAUGCUGAAGUCAUUGUGCUAACCAAUUUGCUCACGCCCCCACAUGACCUUCGGGUCGCGUGGUGUGUGUGGGUCUUGGGGCCCCGGUGAUUGUAGGCAAGCGUGUUAACAGGGGUGACGCAGACAGGUAGCUGCAGUGCGCCGAUGGUUGUGCGUAUUUAAGGUUGUGGCCCGCCUCCCAGGCAAAUCCGGGGGACAGAUGGGUGAGAACUGAUGAGGGACACACGCGUGUGUGGACUUGUGGUGAUCCUAAGCUGCCGAGAAAAGCCUCGACGUGAGGGCAUGACGCGCCCGUACCCUAAACCGACUCAGGUGGUCAGGUAGAGUAUACCGAGGCGUUCGAGUGAAUCGUGGUUAAGGAACUCGGCAAAAUGCCCCCGUAACUUCGGGAUAAGGAGGACCCCGUGACUUCCCCACACCGUGCGUGUGGGUGGGGUUGUGGGGUCGCAGAGAAUAGGGAGAAGCGACUGUUUAUCAAAAACACAGGUGCGUGCGAAGCCGUAAGGCGAUGUAUACGCACUGACGCCUGCCCGGUGCUGGAAGGUUAAGAGGAACCGUCAACCUUUGUUGGUGAAGCGGUGAAUUUAAGCCCCAGUAAACGGCGGUGGUAACUAUAACCAUCCUAAGGUAGCGAAAUUCCUUGUCGGGUAAGUUCCGACCUGCACGAAUGGCGUAACGACUUCUCCGCUGUCUCAACCGCGAACUCGGUGAAAUUGCAGUACGAGUAAAGAUGCUCGUUUCGCGCAGAAGGACGGAAAGACCCCGGGACCUUUACUAUAGUUUGGUAUUGGUGUUUGGUUUGGCUUGUGUAGGAUAGGUGGGAGACUGUGAAGCAUGGACGCUAGUUUGUGUGGAGUCGUUGUUGAAAUACCACUCUGGUCAAUCUGGAUGUCUAACUUCGGGCCAUGAUCUGGUUCAGGGACAGUGCCUGAUGGGUAGUUUAACUGGGGCGGUUGCCUCCUAAAGUGUAACGGAGGCGCCCAAAGGUUCCCUCAGCCUGGUUGGCAAUCAGGUGUUGAGUGUAAGUGCACAAGGGAGCUUGACUGUGAGACUGGCAGGUCGAGCAGGGACGAAAGUCGGGACUAGUGAUCCGGCGGUACGUUGUGGAACGGCCGUCGCUCAACGGAUAAAAGGUACCUCGGGGAUAACAGGCUGAUCUUGCCCAAGAGUCCAUAUCGACGGCAUGGUUUGGCACCUCGAUG
rnacentral:rRNA from 1 species